AGGGAAUCUUCCACAAUGGACGAAAGUCUGAUGGAGCAACGCCGCGUGUGUGAUGAAGGGUUUCGGCUCGUAAAACACUGUUGUAAGAGAAGAAUGACAUUGAGAGUAACUGUUGUCGGCGUGACGGUAUCCAACCAGAAAGCCACGGCUAACUACGUGCCAGCAGCCGCGGUAAUACGUAGGUGGCAAGCGUUAUCCGGAUUUAUUGGGCGUAAAGCGAGCGCAGGCGGUUUUUUAAGUCUGAUGUGAAAGCCCUCGGCUUAACCGAGGAAGCGCAUCGGAAACUGGGAAACUUGAGUGCAGAAGAGGACAGUGGAACUCCAGGUGUAGCGGUGAAAUGCGUAGAUAUAUGGAAGAACACCAGUGGCGAAGGCGGCUGUCUGGUCUGUAACUGACGCUGAGGCUCGAAAGCAUGGGUAGCGAACA
rnacentral:rRNA from 1 species